GUCAUACUGCUUCAUUCUGUUGGUUACACAGGGCUAGCCCACAUUUGGUGCAGGAAGAGGGUACUCAGUGGUAUGAAUACACAGAAUUAUGAUUCAUCGGGGGCCAUCUUGGUGACUAGAUACCAAAGACCAUAUGAGACCAGGAUGAAUUCCUAUCUAAGGUCCUUGAAGGUAAGGAUUAGGUCUCUAAUGGACUAAGACCCAAAGACUACAUUUGAACUGGGGACCUCGUCAAGACCUGGCCACAUCCAUCCAUCAUCCUCAGUGAAUGUCCUCAGAAUAUAAGCAGCAGGGAACCGAAGGUGAAUGCGUAUGUUCCACGCAGGUAGGAUGGCAAGGAGAAGCUGCCCGUGAGAGUGAUAUCUACAAAGCAUGCAUUUCAGUGCCUCUGAGGAGCCCCAAAUUUCCUGAGUCAGCUCUGAAGAAAAGGAAGAAGUGGCCAAAUUUCAUUCACUGUUAUAGCCCCCCUUUUCUUCCUUCCUUACAUGAGAGGAGAGCAUUGAAAGACAGGCCUACCUUCUCAGAAAAGAAGCAUAAGCAGACACCCAAAGGUGCCCUCUUUCAUAGGUGGAUGGAUUCAGUAAGCUGACAUCCAGGUAUCUCCAAGACCAUGGCCAGAAGCUGGCCUCUGAGGUGGACGGGGGCCAGACAAAUUGCAGGUGACUUUCUCAGUGGACACGAAGGGGUUUCCCCUCCUCUCUCCUGGCUUGAUUGAAAAAAUUAAAGUUGAUCUGUGGUAAG